GACGAACGCUGGCGGCGUGCCUAAUACAUGCAAGUAGAACGCACAGUUUAUACCGUAGCUUGCUACACCAUAAACUGUGAGUUGCGAACGGGUGAGUAACGCGUGGGUAACCUGCCUGGUAGCGGGGGAUAACUAUUGGAAACGAUAGCUAAUACCGCAUAAUAUUGAUUAUUGCAUGAUAAUUGAUUGAAAGAUGCUAUUGCAUCACUACCAGAUGGACCUGCGUUGUAUUAGCUAGUAGGUGAGGUAACGGCUCACCUAGGCGACGAUACAUAGCCGACCUGAGAGGGUGAUCGGCCACACUGGGACUGAGACACGGCCCAGACUCCUACGGGAGGCAGCAGUAGGGAAUCUUCGGCAAUGGACGAAAGUCUGACCGAGCAACGCCGCGUGAGUGAAGAAGGUUUUCGGAUCGUAAAGCUCUGUUGUAAGAGAAGAACGGGUGUGAGAGUGGAAAGUUCACACUGUGACGGUAUCUUACCAGAAAGGGACGGCUAACUACGUG
rnacentral:rRNA from 1 species